AUUGGGAUGGCUGAAUACUAUAAGCAGUAAACUGUAAAUUUACUUAUGAAUUAAAUUCUCUCAUUA
rnacentral:tRNA from 1 species